AGGCUUCUGUGGUUUCUACUGACAGAGCUGGAGACACUCCCCACUCCCUGUAGCCUGUGAACCAGGCUGAGCAGCUGGUGUGUGGUAGAGUUAUCCAGAGGCAACUUUUGGAACUCACUCUGCCCACGACUGUGUCAGCGCAAGGCUGUUAGGCAUCCCAGGCAGACCCCUCACUCUGGUGAAGAAGGAGAUUGCUGUGAGACCGGAGGAGGCAGGACUCAGAGUCCCUUCUGUGUCCCAGAUACUCCAGACCUGGGGUAGGGGCUGAGUGGAAAGACACCUGCUUCCUUCGAUGACAUGACUGUGGGAGGCUGUCUCACUAAGUCCUGAUGGAGGAGGUGACGUGGACAUGGAAGCUUGACCUGCCCAGAGCCCUGAGUCACAGGAUCUGGCCCAUGUACUCAAGAAGCAUGGGCUCUUGUGUCAUGGCUUCAGGGAUGCCAGGGCUGGCUCAGCCUUCUGCAGCUAGGUGUGAGAGGGGAUGGGGUACAGGCGGGUCUGAGAGUGCGUACCCUGACUCCCAACAUGGCACCUCACCUACAAGCUACCAGUGUAGCUCAGCUUUCUCUCCUAUGCCCUGGCCGGGCCCUGCGUUUGUCUUUUGUCAAGCCAGACCUGCUCCUUCCUCCGGUCCUGUUGACUGUUUCUGGGCUGGGGUUUAACAUGUCCUGCUGAUUUAGAGCCCGAAGGAAUCCACGUAGAAAACAUAACCCAUCAGAAACCUCAGGAGAUGGAGAAUAUGCGUGUAGGUGUGGCAAGUGAUGGGGACACAUGGGGACAGCAGCCUGAGACUGACAAGACAGGAAACUGCUGUCAUUCCAGGCUACUGGGCCAGAGAGAACGUGGCAGAAGCCAGAGGAGAACUGGGACCUUGGUGCCGAUUUCUUGGUAGGAGUUGGGGCUCUAGGGGUGGUAUUGCUGGGCAAAAGAAAAAGAGACUGGUCCUCGUCCUCCCCAUCAUACCUGGGUCUCUGCCAGUGAGAGGUCCCUUGGCUAUGGUAGUUUGCAAGAAUAGAGCCAAGUAUUAGAUGAGACAGAUGGAGGAUGGGCUGGUAGGUCACAGACCUGUUAAGGUAGUAUCCCUCCAAUGUCGCACCAGAAUUGAACAGCACAUCUGCCUUUGAAGGUUAUCCGGAGUUGUUAAUCACGAAUAAUGCAAAUGUCACUUCUGUCCCGAAUGAGGCGGGAAGGCACGGGCUAUUUUAAGAGGAUGACUUGCUUCCUGCACAUUUUUUUUUCAGAAGAUAGGGUAGUGUCUGGUGCUUAACCGAACACCAGAUGUUUUGAUAGCAAGAUCUGUGGAGGCGGUAAGACAGACUGAUUGACGUGAACGAGUGGAUGAUACCGGACUCAAUCAGACUUCAGAAUCAGCUCAGAUGCACUAGUUAUCCUCCAGCUUCGGGCUCCGUGUCUUUGUUCAGAUGGGGACUGUCGUUUUCAGGCUUCUAUAGAAAUGAACGACAAAGGGAACAGAUAGAAAGCUUGCUUGUGCCCGUAAACAAGUGCCCCACAGUGUCCUCCCUCGUGGUUAUGACGCCCUCUGGGGUGGGCACCUGUAAUCCUCAUCUCAUAACCACCGAAACAACAAACAAACGGCAUUCAAGAGCCGGCUUGUCCACUGUCUCCCUCAAAGGAGGAGUUUACUCUUCAAAGUCUGCAAACCCCUCUCCUCCCUUCUUAUGUCUCUUUCACCUCCCUACCCUUGUCUCGAAAACAUUCUAGAGUAUUCUGUCAGGCAUUGUGGGGAAGCUGCUCCUCCUGGCGCUGGGUACAUCUACCCAGGUGCUCUUUGAACGGUCUGUGAGCAUUGUCUGUUGGACAGGUCUAGCAGCAGAAGGCUCAGUACUCUAUGGGACAACGUAAUUUCCCUUAUUAAAACUGAGUUCUGCCUCCCUGCCAGGCUUGUGCUGACUCCAUGGAUCUUUCUGGGAUGAAUGUAGCUCCUCUUUCUAUGUCACAGCCCUUGAAAUGUGGGGAAAUAAACAAAUAUUUUCCCUC